CAGAGUGGAAUAGUGUGUACAUGUCACUAGGUUAAAGGUUACAGUGCCAAAAAAUGUAUUCACAUGAUGGCUGCCACCGCAACUGACAGCCCAUAUCGGGGCAUGCAUGUUUUACGAACAGACCUUGUUAAAUUGGCUGCUGAGUCAGGACAACAAUGAUGAGGAUGUGGUGGACAAGAAUGACCUGAGUACGCAGAAGCAACUGCUCAGCACAGAAGAUGACUGUCUGAUGAAAAGGCUCAGCCGUAUCACAGUCCAGUGAUGAGGGGGGAUGAUGCGGUCGUUCCAUGUCUUAAGAUCACAUCAUGAAAGACAUUUUAGCUGACACUUGGAAGGGAGAGAACUGAAGAUCUGCAACAGCAGUGAGCAUGAGCAUUGUUAUCGAGUUGACAUGGCAAUGGCAACAGUCGGACCCCAGGAGCCUCAGUCCAGGACAACCCUUCCCCUCCUCCCGACCCAUAGGUCCUCCCCUUUGAUCUCCUGCCCCAUAGCGUCGUUGAACAAUACCGGUCUGCUGGAAUAUCUGAGCAUGUUGAGUUUUCACAAGCUGUUCUCAACAACUGUCAUCUCCGUGUUGAUCGAUCUGCACUCGAGCCUGAGUAGUUUGUUAAGUUCCAGUGCCGAAGAAUAAAAAGUUGGAUAACUUGUUCCAUGCUUUGUGGGACUAACAGAGCAACAGCGAAUUAUGGGAGAAAAUCAAGAAACAGUUGAAGAAGAGUUAAAAUUCGAAGCAUAAGCUAUCCACAGGGGCUACUUCUGAUUUCAAUAGUUGUAGCAUAAUGGACCAUCCUGAUUUGUCCUCUAAUGCGUCCAAAAUGUUCAAAGUGAAAGUGCUUUUUACGCAGUUGCUGACAAAAAAAACUUUGUUAUGAACACUCAUAGCAUGAUUAAUACAUCGGGUGUGGUUCAGGCGUAAAUUCUGCACAUCAUCGUUUACAAGGUGCUUAAGGUGCACCCAUCAGGGUUUGUUACGAUCACAACACACUCCAAGACAAAACGGCCUCGCAUUGAAUAGACACUAGAUAAAGCGUUGAAAAAUGACAGCAGUUUUGUUGUGUGGUCCAGUAUGCCCUUUGACUUUCAACCCGACAUUAGGUAGAACUCUAACUAGGCCCUCAGCAAUAUCAGCGAGGCCAGCACUUCGUCUCACCUUCUUGAGCCUCAGCAAACAGUAUUAGCCAACAAGACAAAUAUCGUUGAAGUAAAUGUUGAUGGCAAUUCGCACCCCCUUCUUUAACAAAUACUACAACUCGCUCAAGAAAUUAAGUAGCAAGAGGUCUUGCAUCAGCCUAGCAUGCCACAUCUUCUCCAAUGUUGGCUUCAAACACCAGAGCCUUGAUGAGUCCGACUUUUGUCCCAUUCAAUGCUGGACAUGGACAACUUGUUCCAGACGAGUUGCUGAAGUGAAAAAGAUUUGUCAUUAUACAGCAGAUAGAGCAGGCAUUAAGUGACUUUCUGUAAUUGUGAAUGACCUCGAUAUGUUGCUCUGAAAUAAUGUGAACCUGACGCCCAAGGAGCAGUCUGUGAUUGCCAUUUAGCAGCACCUGUUUACUGACAUGCCAGGUUUUGGGUUUGUUGACUUUGGCAUCUGGACUUGCACCAUCUCUGUCUGUAUUCCAUUAAUGGCAGCCGCAGCAUUAACAACAACAGAGCCUGUUCCUCUUGGUCCAGGACCUUUGGACAAAUGCUCAAAUAGUACUACCCACAGGAUGAAGCCACUCUGAAUCCGGGGCUCCAUACUUUCUUGGCCAGGCGCCAAGGCUACCUCGUCAAUAAGCAGAGCACCAGCAUUGAUAUCGAGUUGGCCCAGCAACCGCACAAGUCCCGCCUGCAGGAGCCCCAGUCCAGAACGACCCUUCCCCUCCCCAGACUUCUAACUCCUCCCCCUUGACCUCCUGACUCAAAAAGUCAGCAUCAUUGAACAACUCCGUUCUGCAGGAAAUUCUGAGCAUGAUUCUGUUCUGAACAAACGCAAUGCCAACGUCAAGUUGUCAACACAUAAGCCUGGGUAGUUUUGUUAAGCUAGAGUUCCGCGUGGGCCUGAGAGGGACGAGUUUUACAGACACGAAAAGUUAUAGCAGUAGUUAUGGUAACGCUAACAGUCAGUUGUUGCUGUUGGACAUCACAACGAAUAUCAUGAAGAAUAAAAAGUUCAAUAACUUGUUCCAAUCUUUAUGGGACAAACAGAAAUUGAACAGGAGAAAAUCAAGGAACAAUACAAUCGUAAGCUCUCCUAGUAGGAUACUUCUGCUGCUGAUAGUUUGGACGACAGUAGGGUUACAGACUGCCCAAGAUUGUCCUCGCAGUGGCCGCCAAAAUAUCAUAAUAGACUUUUGGCAAUGUUACUGACAAAGAAAGGCAGUAAUGACUUGGUUGUGAAUACCCAGAGCAUGAUAAAUCCAUGCUGACUCAGAAUGGCAGUAAUGACUUGGUUGUGAACACAUCGAGCACGAUACAUCCAUGCUGACAGAGAAAGGCAGUAAUGACUUGGUUGUGAAUACCCAGAGCACGAUACAUCCAUGCUGACAUAAAAAUGCAGUGAUGACUUGGUUGUGAACACCCAGAGCACAAUACAUCCAUGGGGUGUGCAUCAGAUGGAAUUUUGACUAUUAUUGUUAACAAGUUGCUAAGAGUGAACACGUCUGGUUUUGUUAUGAGCACUUCCCACUCAGAGCCCAAAGGUCCUCGCAUUGAAGCGAUGCAAAAGAAGACUUUGAAAAAUGACAGCAGUUGUGUUGUGUGGUCCAGUAAUCCUUUCAACUCUCAACCUGAAGUUUAUCAAAACUCAAACUCAGCCCUUUGCAAUAUCACACCUUGCAACACAGUGUACUUUACCAUGAAUGUUUUGCGGUUUAAAACACCAAAAUUUCAAUUAAAAGUUUGUGCUCGUAACAUAUUGAUACGUUGCUAUUCUGAGUUCUAAUUACGAUAUCCUUAAUAUCAAUAAUAGAUGAAAUGUUUGGCAUUAAAAAAACAGGCGUGUAAAGUAAUUUGUUACAGUGCAUAUUCAUUUGUCACUAAAAAAAUUAGGGUUAAGUUUGCUUGUCAUUUCCUUUUUAGCAAACAUUAUUAGACAACAAAACAAACGUCGUUUAAGUGAAAGUCCAAGACAAUUCUGACCUAGUUUGGGCACAAGUACAACAACUAAGUAAAGAAAUUCACUUUGUCUUGCAUCAGCCUACAUGUAGAAAGCCUCUUAUAAACAUCUCCCAAGUUGGCUACAUCAACGCUUCCAACAGCGUAACUUGGCAUCGACACAUUGUUCCGAACGAGUCGCUCGAACUGAAACGAUCUGAUCCAACAGAGAGCAGGCUCUGCGUGACUCGUCUGUUAAUGUGACUGACCUGGAUAUGUUGCUUUCCAAUAAUAUGAGCCUUACUCCAGAUUAGCUGUCUGCGAUUGACGCAAUUCAACAACAGUUGUUGUCAGGAAUUUCCGGCUUUGGGAUGGCAAUUUGGCGUCGGGGCUUCAUCUCUGUCUUUGGCCUGGUCGCAGCAGAAGCAGCAACAAGAACAACAAUUAGUAUAAGAGCCUUCAUCUGGGAUAUGGGGUUUCAUAGCCUGUUCCUACAGGAACCCAUGCAAUCAUAGAUCGGUACCUAGCUGAACAACAGGCUGUCUGGUUAGCUGGGCCCAGGGCCCAGUGACACUUCCUGGCCCAGGACCUUGGGGCCAAUGCUCCACUAGUCCUACCCGCAGGGUGGAGCCACACUGAACCUGGGGCUUCAUACUUUCUUGGCCAGGGGCCAAGAUAUCCUCGUCAAUUAGGGACACAUUCCUGGGAUGCCCUAAGGUCUUUCUAUCUGUUCACAGAGGUCUUAUACUGACAAGUUCAAGCCCAGUGAGCGAUGUUCACAUUAUCAAACUUUGCAUCUCAAUAGAAACCUGGAUAGCAAAGCGUUGGUUUGUUUUUGAAGCAUUUGAACCAGCAACAGUCAUCAUUGGAGUUUCUGGCAUGUCUAUGGUGUGGAACCCUCAGUCUAUGAACAUCAUAACAGCACAUGAACCAGCAGCAGUCAUCAUCUAAAGAUUCUGGUAUAUUCAAGGUACAGGACCCUUCGUCUGUACAGAUCUUGCAGAACAAACUUCAGAUGCAAUUUGAAGAAAUCAAACCAUCCAAUCAGAAACACAGCCUGUUGCAGCAAUUGUUAACAUAUUGACCCCAGUCAAACCUAAGAAGCUCAGAGAUAAAUACUGUUUUAGAUGUGCUAGUCUUCACAUACCACCUGGUUUGUUCAACACUUACUCUGAAUCUUUGAAUGUUAUGACGGGUGAAAAUGAAUGACCGUGUUCAGAUCGAAAUGGCAGAAUGACACAUCACAACAAUUCAAGUUGAAAGCCAGAAAGUCACGUCAACAGCCACAUGUUGUUUGUUGCCAGCCAAGUUGUAUUAAAAAACACAAUAGCUCACGUUUUAUGUUAUAUGUGACCAACCAAGUUAUAUUCAUACAAAAACAACAGUUUAUGUUUUAUGGGAAUUUUUAUGCUGUCAGUCUUUAUGUUGAACUAUUUUGUUAAAUAUAUUAUUAGCAUGUAAAAUACUUUAAAAGCACGCAUAUUGCACGUAUAUGCAAUGUCUUUGUCUAUAUUAUGAUAUCACUACAUAUUGUGAUCAUGAUAAUAGUAAAUUAAUGGGAAAUACACUUUUAUCAAAGACUUUCAAAGCGUGAUAAAGCUGUUUAAAUGAGGCUGGUAACUUGGACAACAUUAAACAAAUAUUGGAGUAUUUUCAUGUUAUAAAACAUGUUUCAGUUUCCUGUUUUUACCCGUAAUGUAGAUAAGCUAGAUAAAAGUAGUGUAAAGAAAGGUUUAGAAGUUUUACGCUUGAGCUUUUUCUUUUUAUCAAUCUUUCUUAAAACAAUACUAGUCAUUUUGCUCAUUUGGGUCAGUAUUCGAUCAUGAAACUUAUUUGUAUAAUAGCAUACUAUUUCAUGGUAAUAUAAAUAGAUUCUUGGCAAAACUAUUUGAUCUACCUAAAUUAUCGAUUCUGUAUUUACUACCAGAACUUUGUUGAUUUUAAUGAAACUGAGAAUUAGAAAUAAAUAUUAAAAUUGUUUUAGAGUUUUAAGACAAAUGGCAAAAGUUAUGAAUGUUAAAGGGGCCUUUUCACAGAUUUUGACAUGUAUUGAAGUUUGUCAUUAAAUGCUUCAUGUUGAUAAAUGUAAACAUUGAAUCUUAAAAUAUCCAUUAAAAAUCAAGAAUAAAAUUCAAAAAAUGAAAAAAAAUAGUAACUCUCAUUAAGGCUCGAACCAAGGACCCCUGGAGUCCAGGAGUAAAUGUCUACCACUUAGACCACUCGGCCAUCCGUGCUCAUACAAGCAUUGAUGUAUUUUAUACUUUAUAUAAGCAAUCCUUGUAGUUUCACAAAAUAUAGAGACAACAACACAACUCUCCAAAUUAUUCAAUUGUUACGCGUUGCAACACUUCAUACCUUUCAGUUUUUUUAUUCGUAAAAGAUGCAUGUAACGGCUAUUUUAGAGCACGUUAAAUGUUCAGUAUGUCUGUUUCCUCACAAAUAUCAUAAGUACAACGAAAAUUUGCGUAUCUGAAACAACUUUUUUGAUUUUGUCAAUUUACCAAAUCGUGAAAUGGCCCCUUUAAUUUGUGUUGUUAGAUCAUAGACUUGCAUGCUCAUAAGUGUUCAAAUUUGUUAUCGGACGCAAUAGUUUAUUAUGCUUUAUAUUUGUAUAUGCACAUGAAGACAACCAGAUUGUAUCCUCUUUAAUCAGUGAGUAACUUAAUCAAGAUUUCUUGACCAUUGUAUAAAGUGUAUAGGUAUAUUUUGCCAUUUAUACAAAGAGCAACUGUGAAACAUUUUUAUUUUAAAUGUAUAUUUUUCAUUUCUUGUUGCCAUUUUAUAAGAUAAAAUCACUGUUUACAUUAAUUUGUACAAACCAAUGUAUAAAAAACAUUGCUUCUGUGAAUGCUCAUAUAUGUAUUAAACUCUAAAAAUAAUGCACAGUAACAUAAUCUGAAGAGACAAAUAUACUUGAGGCAAUAGAAACACCUCGUUAUUUGAAAUGCUUUAGAUUGAGAACAACUACUUAAACAAAUUUAAUUUUGUUUUACAUUAUCUAUAGAAAAAUUAGUAUCUUGUAAUUUGAAAUAUCUGUCAAUUACAAAUUAAUGGAUAGUGUUGUAAUAUGCUAACAAUUGUCAAGAAUUGCAUUUCUCUCUUCUGGUUAAACUAGAGAGCAAUAUUAUUUGCUUAAAAAUCAAAUUCAAAGAUGUCUCCUUUGUAAGUUAAUAAUUAUGUUUACUACUCAACAUAACAAGUAAAUACCUUCAGAAUCACAAAUUAUUUCACACUUUACUCAGCCUUAUGUGAAAGUCUAAUAUAAUUUUGUGGAAUAAACACUAACACAAAUAUAUGUUCUUAUAUUAAAUGUGAAAAGUAUUGACAUAUGGAUAACACUAAUGUUUGCCUUUUUAGCUCAUCUAUUUUUU